GUGGAGCUGCCAGAAAGUAACUUUGCGGAGUGGAGCGUCAGAAGUGAGGAGCAGGUGUCUCAUGCUAAAGUCGUAGCCCAAACCCUGAAGACACGAGUAGAAGAAUGUACUGUACAUGUUUGGCGUCGUGGGCAUCCCGGCCACCGAAAUCGCCCUUGGCACCCAGGAGCUGCGCAUCAGGUACCUCAGGACGAGGAACGAGCAACGAGCAAGCGGUUCGUGUUAAGAAGCAGGACUCCAGGUGGCGCCAUCUUUGCUCAAACAGGAAGCCAAGGCCCUGGCGCCCAGAACAGUGUGGAGUGUAGAGGCCCAAGUCCCAGCCCCUGCCUCUCAGGGGAACCCCCCAGCCUGCGGCCCAACUGGCUGGGGUCAGAAUCCAGUGACCAAGAAAAUACCAAAGGAGUUCACAUAAAAACACACAGUCCUUGCUGUAGACAGCUAGUGAUUUGGGAAGUAAGGAUGAACACAAGGGCAAAGAUGCCAUCCAAAACCAGGAAAAAUUUAACUGAUGAGAAGCAACUACCAAUUCUGAGGACAAUUCCAAAACUCAAAAGAGGAUGUAUAUCCUUUAACUUUUCCGGUGUAAUCAGUGCUACAAUUCCGGAGUGAAAUGAUGAACUUGUGGCCCUGUAUGACGAUGGAAGAAGGCCUUUGUUCUCAGGAGCUGUCUGCUGAGUAUAACGGUAGACAGUGGUCUCUGCUAUUCUUUUCUUUUUUUUUUUUUUGGUACCAGGGAUUGAACUCGGGACCUUGUGCUUGUGAGGCAAGCACCAGAACCACUGAGCCAAAUCCCCAGCCCUCUGCUGCUCAUUUUUUUAAGUUUUACAAGAGAAAAAACCCCCUGUGCAUGUGUGUUUUGGGAGGGGAGAAAUAAACCAAAUCUGGUGAAUGUUAAGCAGUGGGGAUUCUAGGGGACAGUUGUAUGGUAUUGUUCCUUCAGCUCUUCUAUAGACUUGCAAUUUUUAAAAAUAAAGAGGACAGGGAACCUUAAAUAAAUAAGUGAAAAAGUAUAUACACAUACACAUGAAUACUUGUAUACUCAGAAUAUCUCUGGAUGGAUGUGCAAGAAACUGGUAACAAAGGUUACAUCUAAGGUGGAGAACUGGAGGGCUCUGUGUUAGAGAUAGACGAGAUUUGUUUUUCACUUUUGAAAUGUUUUGAACUAUUUAUCAUGCAGCUGUGUAAUUUACUUUUUUAAAUGAUACAAAUACAAUACAAUACAAUACAAAUCAAGAGAAGCAUCUUUGUCCUUCUAGAACCAGUUUCUUGAAGGUAUGGACAAUCAUAUUUGUUAUUUCCCAGUACAUAUGAUUCUAUUGCCUGGCAAAGGACACAUAUAAGUUACAAGUGGAUUCAUAUAAAGCAAAGUUAUAGGGCCUGAGGCUGCAUCUUGCCUAGCAUGUGUAAGCCCCUGGGUUCCAUCCCUACCCUGCGAAAAAUACAAUGAAGUUAUAAAAUGGGCUCAAUCCUGUUUAAUUUGUUUUAAGGAAAACCAUUCCCGAUGGUGUUGUCAGAAGCCUAACAUUUUGCUCUUUUGAUAAUUCAAAACUCCCCUGAGGAGUCACCUAUUAGAUGCUGAGCACAAUGUAUGCUGCUAAAUUUUAAGGCCUUACCAUCAAGGGGCAAACAAAUGAAUCACUGAGUGAAAGAAAUGUGUACAGAUCUGAAAGUCGUGGACCUCCCAUGAGCUGAAGAACAUGGGAACUGUCACUUUAAGAAGACUCUUCCACAUCAUAGAAAAUCUUUAAGAAGUGCUGAGGGUCAGAGUGAAUUCUGAUUCCUGAGCUGCAGGAAGUUAAUUACAUGAUGUUCCCUUGGACCAAAAAUUAGAACAUCGUAUGCCCAAAGCCAUCCAUACCACAGGCUCUGACAUUGGAGAUGGCAGCCCUGAAAUGAGGGUAUGAACAUGAAAGGUAAGCUCCCUGCUUUGUCAGUGCCUGCUGUGGAUGUCACACUUAGGUAGGAGGAAAGUUCCACUGGGCUCCAUCUUCCAAUAAACAGCAGAAUAAAAUCUGUUGUAGACCAGAUUGAUUUAGCAAGUUGGACUUAUUACAGAGAACCCGCACACUCCCUGACAAGGUCAAAUAAAGCUAAGCCCUCACUGAAAAACCUGAAAUGCUUUCCCAACACAAUGUUUUCUA
rnacentral:lncRNA from 1 species